GAUGAAGAACGCAGCGAAAUGCGAUAAUUAAUGUGAAUUGCAGAAUUUAGUGAAUCAUCGAAUCUUUGAACGCACAUUGCGCCCCUUGGUAUUCCGGGGGGCAUGCCUGUUCGAGCGUCAUUUCAACCCUCAAGCCCCGGGCCUGGCGUUGGGGAUCGGCGGAGCCCCCCGUGGGCACACGCCGUCCCCCAAAUGCAGUGGCGGUCCCGCCGCAGCUUCCAUCGCGUAGUAGCUAACACCUCGCGACUGGAGAGCGGCGCGGCCACGCCGUAAAACACCCAACUCUUCUGAAGUUGACCUCGAAUCAGGUAGGAAUACCCGCUGAACUUAAGCAUAUCAAUAAGCGGAGGA
rnacentral:misc_RNA from 1 species